rnacentral:misc_RNA from 1 species
GAUGAAGAACGUAGCGAAAUGCGAUACGUAAUGUGAAUUGCAAAUUCCGUGAAUCAUCGAGUCUUUGAACGCACAUUGCGCCCCCUGGUAUUCCGGGGGGCAUGCCUGUCCGAGCGUCAUUGCUGCCCUCAAGCACGGCUUGUGUGUUGGGCCCCGUCCUCCGAUCCCGGGGGACGGGCCCGAAAGGCAGCGGCGGCACCGCGUCCGGUCCUCGAGCGUAUGGGGCUUUGUCACCCGCUCUGUAGGCCCGGCCGGCGCUUGCCGAUCAACCCAAAUUUUUAUCCAGGUUGACCUCGGAUCAGGUAGGGAUACCCGCUGAACUUAAGCAUAUCAAUAAGCGGAGGA